GUGAGGAAUAUUGGGCAAUGGGCGAAAGCCUGACCCAGCCACGCCGCGUGAGUGAUGAAGGCCUUCGGGUUGUAAAGCUCUGUGGGGAGGGAAGAAAAAGCGGGAGAGUAACUGCUCUCGUGUUGACGGUACCUCCUUAGCAAGCACCGGCUAACUCUGUGCCAGCAGCCGCGGUAAUACAGAGGGUGCAAACGUUGACCGGAAUUACUGGGCGUAAAGCGCGUGGAGGCUGACAUGCAAGGCGGGUGUGAAAUCCCAGGGCUCAACCUUGGAACUGCACUCGAAACUGCACGUGUUGAGUACUGGGGGGGGAAGCGGAAUUCCGGGUGUAGAGGUGAAAUUCGGAGAUAUCCGGAGGAACACCAGUGGCGAAGGCGGCUUCCUGGACAGUAACUGACGCUGAGACGCGAAAGCGUGGGGAGCAAACAGGAUUAGAAACCCUGGUAGUCC
rnacentral:rRNA from 1 species